GAAUCUUCCGCAAUGGACGCAAGUCUGACGGAGCAACGCCGCGUGAGUGACGAAGGUUUUCGGAUCGUAAAACUCUGUUGUGAGGGAAGAACACGUACCAGGUACCUACUGGUACCUUGACGGUACCUCACCAGAAAGCCACGGCUAACUACGUUCCAGCAGCCGCGGUAAUACGUAGGUGGCAAGCGUUGUCCGGAAUUAUUGGGCGUAAAGCGCGCGCAGGCGGUCCUUUAAGUCUGAUGUGAAAGCCCACGGCUCAACCGUGGAGGGUCAUUGGAAACUGGAGGACUUGAGUGCAGAAGAGGAAAGUGGAAUUCCAUGUGUAGCGGUGAAAUGCGUAGAGAUGUGGAGGAACACCAGUGGCGAAGGCGACUUUCUGGUCUGUAACUGACGCUGAGGCGCGAAAGCGUGGGGAGCAAACA
rnacentral:rRNA from 1 species